rnacentral:rRNA from 1 species
AAAACUUUCAGUGACGGAUCUCUUGGCUCUCGCAUCGAUGAAGAACGCAGUAAAUCGCGAUACGUAAUGUGAAUUGCAGAAAUAUGUGAAUCAUCGAAUCUUUGAACGCAUCUUGCGCUCUGGGGUACUCCUCAGAGCAUGCCUGUUUGAGUGUCUUUUAA